GCCCCUGUAGCUCAGUGGAUAGAGCGUCUGCCUCCGGAGCAGAAGGUCGCUGGUUCGAGUCCAGUCGGGGGCA
rnacentral:tRNA from 2 species